CGCGCAGGCGGGCCGGCAAGUUGGAAGUGAAAUCUAUGGGCUUAACCCAUAAACUGCUUUCAAACUGCUGGUCUUGAGUGAUGGAGAGGCAGGCGGAAUUCCGUGUGUAGCGGUGAAAUGCGUAGAUAUACGGAGGAACACCAGUGGCGAAGGCGGCCUGCUGGACAUUAACUGACGCUGAGGCGCGAAAGCGUGGGGAGCAAACA
rnacentral:rRNA from 1 species